UGCCUCUCAUGUUAACAAGUUACAUCUU
rnacentral:piRNA from 1 species